rnacentral:tRNA from 3 species
GCCGGGAUGGCCGAACGGUAAAGCGCACGCCUGGAAAGCGUGUUCCCGUAUGGGAUUCUGGGUUCAAAUCCCAGUCCCGGCG